AUUGAACGCUGGCGGCAGGCCUAACACAUGCAAGUCGAGCGGAGCGGCGGACGGGCGAGUAAUGCCUAGGAAUCUGCCUGGUAGUGGGGGAUAACGUCCGGACACGGGCGCUAAUACCGCAUACUAUUUGAUGGGCCUAGGUUGGUUUUCCUAGUUGGUGGGGUAAAGGCUUACCAAGGCGACGAGCCGUAACUGGUCUGCGAGGAUGAUCAGUCACACUGGAACUGAGAAACGGGCCAGACUCCUACGGGAGGCAGCAGUGGGGAAUAUUUGACAAUGGGCGAAAGCCUGAUCCAGCCAUGCCGCGUGUGUGAAGAAGGUCUUCGGAUUGUAAAGCACUGUAAGUUGGGAGGCGUUACCAACAGAGUAAGCACCGGCUAACUUCGUGCCAGCAGCCGCGGUAAUAC
rnacentral:rRNA from 1 species